CCUAGAGAGUAGGAAGAAUCCCAAAUCGGCUUCCUCGUACGUGUGCACUAUGUAGGGCGCAAACAAAAUGGCGGCGAUGGCUCAGCCGUUAAGGAUUUGGACGACUUGUUUUGAAUCGGUCACGGUUGCGCCCUUAACCUUGAAAACUUCAGUUAAAUUGUGAGUCAUGUGAGGGAAAUGACUCAUUUUUACUUGGUAAUAAUUUUGUUUUGUUCAUGUUCAUCAGAGGAUAACGGCUAAGAAGGCCAUGUCAUGUCACUGAGAUCAGUACAGAAUGUUUAUCUGUUUACAGAAACACAAACAUGUUCUUCUGUUCAAGAGGACGAGUCUGCGAGUGUUGUCUAACUUCCACGACAAUUUGGCAUCUCCUGGCUGGACUGCGCGAGUCUUUCAGCUUUUCUGGACAACAAGCAAACCGGAGGAAGCUCAUGGAGAAGUUUCACCCUGAAGUCUGUGUUGAUGCGAAGGAGGUUUGUUGUGCAGUGUGAAAGACCAAUGCAGCCUAACCACUGACUGAAACACAAACAUGUUCUUCUGUUCAAGGUUCGUCUGCACAUCUUCUAGAGACUCCUAAAACAAAGCCUGUUUGAACUGCCUCAAACCGCUUCUUAUCGGGACACAGGAGUGUGUCAUGCUCUGCGUUUCAUAUAUACAUAUAUAUAUAGUAGUGGUUCAGCACAAGCACUUCAGAGCGCUCUCAUUAUUCUAUCCUGCUUUAUUCUAUCCUGUAUUAACCAUCUUUCUGAAAUAAAUCUUUUUACCUUCAGAGGACGAGUCUGCGAGUGUUGUCUAAUUUCCACGACAGUCACUUUAGAUAUAAGCAUCUGCCAAAUAAAUACAUGCAACUGCAAAAUAAUGGCUUCUACAACCUAUGUAGUGCACUCCAUGGCCAAUAGGAAAACAUUUUUAGCCAUCUCCAAAGUUUAGCUAAUCUGGCUUUUACAUUUUUUUUGUUUAUUUCUAUUACAAUGUACAAAUGUUUCUCUUAGUCGUGCUCUUAGCCAAAGCAAAAUAACAUAUUA